AAGAGAACAAUAUGUUCUCGUGUUGCUUCCCCACUUCAAGAGGCUGCUGCUUCAGGAAUGGAGGGAGUGAGAGCCUUUUCCGACGAUGCCGAAGAAGGCUCAUCCCUCACCCCAGAUGCCUGUGGCCCUUUGUAAGAAGGUGCACCCGGGUACCACAGGGCAGCGCAGGGCAGGCCCUAGCAGGCCACGCCACACCAGAGAUCCCAUCGGGGCUGCAUCUGCACAUUGUCCUUGUCCAGGAGGAGAUUUGGGAGCCCAUGGAGGCACAGGCACAUGCUCCUGGUCCAUAUGCAGAAAUACCAGCACUUCCAGCACCAGCUGUUGAGCCAGAGCCAGCAUGGGAAGAGUCCCCUCCAGAGACAGCGCUGGAGGUGAAGGGAGCUCCAGCCAAGGACCAGCCCAACGAGGAGCUGCCUGAAAUCACGGCACCUACUGUAGCCACUGGCCUUAGCCCUGCAACUGAAAACAUGGCUGUAGAGAGAAGUCGGAGGGAGGGGGUGACCAACACGGCCCCAGCCAGCCGCUCCCAUGCUGCCCCUAGUCCUGGGCAGGUGGCAAACAUGGAGGCGGAGACCAGGGUUUUGAGCCUGGGCUCCUCUACGUUGCUGGAGAGAGGCUUGUGUCAUUCACUAGAGCUGCAGUUCUGCUGCUGCAGGGCCUGUUUAUUCUACUGCUGCUGGUGGGGUCCAUCUGUGUGCAGGAGGUGCUUGAGGGCAUUAAAAGAAGGCUGGGAGGAGGAAUUCUAGCAGCUCCUCCUGCUCCCAGAGGCGGCCUCCUCCUCCAGGCAUGGAUGUCUGUCUGCAACUGGCAUCCAGGCUGUUUGCACCUGUCGUGCUGCCCAGGACAGGCUCUUAAAAGGCGGGCAGAGGGUGAGGGGACCAGGAGGCAGUUCCAAAGGGUACAGCAAGCAAAGCUUUUAAAGACAGCACUUGUGCCCCAGGCUGUCCAUGCCACUACCUGCCCUAGCAUUUAUUAAUAGUGUUAGAAUUACUAGUUGCUGAAACAAUAUUUCUAUAAAGUUUAAUUUCUGAAACUUC